UCAUCGGACAAGCAGGAAGACCGACCUGGCUGCCCUUAUCCAAAACGUAGGUGCCUCAGUAAUUUUCUUUGGCUUUAUCAUCACCAACGUGUCGUAGAGAAAUCAUUUCUCUUUUCUUUUCUCUUUCCUUCUUCUUUCUUCUUCUCUUUGUUCUUUCUUUUCUCCUCUCUGUUGGUCUCGAUUUCUGAGGGUUUGAGGUUGAUUUAAUAUGAGCGAUUUUUAAUAAACUUAGUAGAAUUUUUAUAUGAGGAAGAAGGUGAUGUUGUUGUUGUCGAUUUAGUUCUGGAAAAGCAGAAAUUUGUUAAUCGUUAUUAACAACGAUCAAUUCAAAGGAUGAUCCAGUGGAUUGAACAUCUCGAGGUAGGCGAGGCUUGUCAUCAAAAGAGGUGGGAAUCUAUAACGAAUUCUCUUGUACUCAUUAUUGUUUUAUAAAUCUAUCUUUUGUGAAA